GAAAAAAGGUUGCUGAUUUGUUCAGACAUGUUAUCCAAGAUGACAUGCAGCAGGGGCAACUGAAGUGGGCCUCAAGUAAAAUAUACACAGUCUACAUGUGCCAAGGGCCCAAAUAGAGUUGUUGUGUUUAUCUACAGGGGGAGAAAAGAGGGCCACAGAACUCCACAGCACUGUCUGGGAACUGGGACAACCAAUACAAUAUUCACCAUACACUCUGCUGUGUCCAGUCCUGGACCUGAUGAAAAGUGCUGAGAGUGACACAAGGCCAAUCCUGUUCUGUUGGGCUCCCUAUUGGCCAGAUUUUGACCAGCACUCCUGACCCUUUUCAGUGGGAGAUGGAGCCAGGUGUUUGGCAGCAGCAGAGUGUUCAGGUGUAACUGUGCCGGUGACGGGACAUGACGAGCAGCCGCAGAUGAAGGAUGAGGCGUGGAGGAUUUUGGGUAGAGGGGCACCCCACGACCUGCUCCCUCAAGAAUACCCCCACUGAUCCAGAGGAGGCAAAACUUUCUUUUGAAUCAGUUCUUGCUAGA